CCAAAAAUCAACAUUAGUAUAGGAUUUCAGUUGCUGAUUGCUGUGGGAUGGUCUGUAUGUCAAAUGUGUUGCUGAUUGGUCAAUGAAUAAAUCACUGAUUGGUAAGUGGCCAGACAGGAAGUAUGGGCGGGACUAACAGAGAGGAGAAUUGAGAGAACAGGAAGUUGGGUGAUGGAGACACUGCCAGCCACCAUCAGGACAAGGAAGAUGUAAAGUACCGGUAAGCCACAAGCCAUGUGGCAAGGUAUAGAUUAAUGGAAAUGGAUUAAUUUAAGCUGUAAGAACAGUUAGCAAGAAGCCUGCCACGGCCAUACAGUUUGUAACCAAUAUAAGUCUCUGUGUUUACUUGGUUGGGUCUGAAUGGCUGUGGGACUGGUGGGUGUCAGAGAUUUGUCCUGACUGUGGGCCAGGCAGGAAAACUCUAGCUACAGCUGGUCUUUCCUGUUUCACUCUUCUUGACAGAAGCAUGGAUUCAUCUAAUGAUCUUCUGCGUCCCACCACCUGCAUCACUUUUGGAGACUCCAUCCAAGUCAGUACCUUGGUUCGUGGUCUGAGACAUGAUCUCUCAAUUCUUAAGAAAAAAAUUAUACACUGUGGAGUGAUCUAAUUCCUUCAUGCCCACAUGUUGGCCUUUCACUACAGACAUAGAUCUCUAAAGAAUUGGUGGCCUGGCAACAACCUAGAUGCCCCUCAACCUAAGAAUGGAUUAAGCAAUUGUGGUACACAUACACAAUGGAGUACUACUCAGCAGAGAAAAACAAUGCCAUCAUGAAAUUUACAGGCAAAUGGAUGGAACUAGAAAAUAUCAUCCUGAGUGAGGUAACCCAGACUCAGAAAGACAAACAUGAAGUAUAGAUUGAUCUAAUGACCUUCUGUGCCCUACCACCUGCAUCAUUUCUGGAGACUCCAUCCAAAUUAGUACCUUGGUUCAUGAUCUGAGACAUGCUCUCUCAGUGAGUAUGAAAAAAUUUUACACUGUGGAGAGAUCAAACUCCUUCAAGUCCAUAUGUUGGCCUUUC